rnacentral:lncRNA from 1 species
ACAAGAAUUUCACUUUGAAUAAGUGGGUGUAACAUUCAAAUUCUAAUCGCUACAUAUUAUAUGCAAUGUCCUUAUGAGUUAUCCUCGCGAGAUCUACUUACACAAAUUUUUUUAUUUUUUUGGUAAAGGACCCACUUAUACUAUUCCACAAUUCAUAUUUUUGUUAAACGUAGUUUUACGUCAGUUGCGAGAUGACACGUAUAUGUAUAAAUAAACUAUAUACAAUCUUGACUGCCAAUUUU